CCAUUCAGAGCAAAUAACAUGGACGCGCACAACAGCUGAGUGUCGGCUUCCGUGGGACCUCCAAGCGCCGUGCCUAGUUUGCUGUGGCUUCCGCCCGCCCCGCCCUGCAAGCCUCUCCCUGCGCCUAGAUACCAAAAGGCGCCUUCCGCUGCUCGGGUGGCUGGGCGGCCAGACAUCUGGUGGAGCCUGUGGCGAGGACCAGAUGAGGACCAAGACCGGACCGAGACGCCCCCAGAUCGUGACUCGUCUCUGCGGGAACCGACACAUAGACGAGGGACCUUGUAUACAGAGCUAUUUUAGAGAAAUUGCGAUUGCCACCAUGGUAUUUCUUGUGGAACCCCACCUUCUCCUGUGCCCGCACCCCAGUCAUUCCUCCUGGUCGGUCCCUGGGCAGACAUUCAUAAGCCUGUUAACUCUAACCCCUGCUCUGGCCAUGAAACAGGAGAGGCAGCCACCCCCACACCACGAUGACCUUUCCUCUCUGAAGGUCGCCCCUUUGCUACUGGGUGUCUCCCAUCAGGGAGGGUCCCUUGGAGGACACUCAUUCAUUUAUUCAACAAGUCUGACUGUGCUGGUCUGCAUGCUUUGCACUCCAACAUAGGUGCUAGGCAAGGGGAUCUGAACAGGGUGCCCACCUUGGGGUGGAUCCCUCAGCUUUUAUCACAGGGGCAGUAUUGGAGACCUCUGGUGUUCAAGGCACCAGAUAGUCCAUAGACACCCAAGCAUGGGGAAAGGCCCAAGUCCCCCCUAGACUAAGGCUGAUGAGGCUCCUGACAUGGUGACAUUGGAACUGUUGGGGACAUGGAGUUCUGCUAUUGUAUCAAUAAGUACCCCCAAAAGUUCAUGUCCUGGAAACUUGGUCCCCAGUGCAGCAGUAUUGAGAGAGGGGGCCUCUGCCAGAGCCUUGGUGAUCAGAUUCAUCCUUUCAUGGAUUCGCAGGUUGUCUUGUUUUAAGGGCAAGUAGAGAUACACUUGCACAGCCUCCACAUGUCAUGACCGAGCACCAAGCCAUCAAACACACACCAACAUCAGAUGCCUGCCCCAUGCUCCUGAACUUCCUAGCCUCCAGAGUCAUGAGCCAAAUAAAACUUCCUUAUAAAUGUA